UCCCUGGUGGCUCAGAUGGGAAAGCGUCUGCCUACAAUGUGGGAGACCCAGGUUCGAUUCCUGGGUCGGGAA
rfam:TPA: Bos taurus chromosome X, whole genome shotgun sequence.